rnacentral:misc_RNA from 1 species
GAUGAAGAACGUAGCGAAAUGCGAUAAGUAAUGUGAAUUGCAGAAUUCAGUGAAUCAUCGAAUCUUUGAACGCACAUUGCGCCCUCUGGUAUUCCGGGGGGCAUGCCUGUUCGAGCGUCAUUAUAACCACUCAAGCUCUCGCUUGGUAUUGGAGUUCGCGAUCUCGCGGCUCCUAAAAUCAGUGGCGGUGCCUGUCGGCUCUACGCGUAGUAAUACUCCUCGCGAUUGAGUCCGGUAGGUUUACUUGCCAGCAACCCCCAAUUUUUACAGGUUGACCUCGGAUCAGGUAGGGAUACCCGCUGAACUUAAGCAUAUCAAUAAGCGGAGA